UGUCUGGCUGACGUCCAUGACAUCUCUCGGACGUCUGUCAAACAAGGGACUGAGACCUGCAAUUUUUCACUCCAUUCAGCCAGGACUCUGUUUCAAGGCCUGAGUCACUAUGGUCAACCUUCUAUUCUAAGGUUUGACUCCAUUAAAGCUUAGGUGACUUAGUUUAGGGCUUUUUGGGCUUGAGAGAGUUACGCAUAGGAUUACAUUGGAAAAUCGAAG